UACGGAGGAUCCGAGCGUUAUCCGGAUUUAUUGGGUUUAAAGGGUGCGUAGGCGGCUUUUUAAGUCAGCGGUGAAAUUUUGCAGCUUAACUGUAACAGUGCCGUUGAUACUGGGGAGCUAGGAUUUGGUUGCUGUGGGUGGAAUGUGUGGUGUAGCGGUGAAAUGCUUAGAGAUCACACAGAAUAUCGAUUGCGAAGGCAGCUCACAAAGCCAAGAUUGACGCUGAGGCACGAAAGUGUGGGGAUCAAACAGGAUUAGAUA
rnacentral:rRNA from 1 species